AGAUGGCGACCGGCGCACGGGUGAGUAACACGUAUCCAACCUGCCGAUAACUCGGGGAUAGCCUUUCGAAAGAAAGAUUAAUACCCGAUGGUAUAAUCAGACCGCAUGGUCUUGUUAUUAAAGAAUUUCGGUUAUCGAUGGGGAUGCGUUCCAUUAGGCAGUUGGUGAGGUAACGGCUCACCAAACCUUCGAUGGAUAGGGGUUCUGAGAGGAAGGCCCCCCACAUUGGAACUGAGACACGGUCCAA
rnacentral:rRNA from 1 species